ACAUGACAGCACAGUUAAGUGAUUUGAACAAAGACAUCGUCUUAAUUACUGCGUAAAACAUGUAAACAUUAAGUCAUUCAAUUCAAUCAUUUUGACAUGAGUUAAUAACAAUAAAGACUUCAUUCCAUGUUGAAAUAACCAAAAUGGUCAAAGUGUGUGUUUUCCUUCACAGGGCAGGCCUUCACUUAGUUCCAGCUGGGAGGCAGCUACAGUGUCUACAAAACAUCAGGAGGAUACUGCAGCAGCCCGGUUGGCCUUCAACCUACCCAAAUUCUCUCACACUACACUGCUCGUCUGCACCCUGCACUGCUUACUGGUGGCUGCUUGAUGAUUUAAGACAUUGGUUAACACUGGUUAACACUGGUUCUUGCAUCGUGCCUGCGAGUGGCUCAGGCCCAUCCUACGUCCAGCCAGAGCAGCAAGUGAGAGUAUGUUUUCGUGACAAAGUUACUGUGGAAGAUGAAAUAUUGCGUAUUGCCGUUUGGAGAUGCCUACUGCAGGAGGACUUUUUUACUCCACGUUCGAGUGUGGCCGUUUGGAACUGCUGUAAACACGUUUGUCUACCGAUGUAGUUGGAUGUCCUGUUGUAUGAUGCAGUGUUAUGAGAGUGGAUGUAGCAAUCUCCAAAAACUACAGACGUCACUGGAAAUCAUGGAUUGGGAUCAUAACAUUAUUGCAACACCUAUCCUCAGGAUGAAGUUUUUCCACAGGAAGGCAGUUUUCAGGGAUACUGACCUGGU